rnacentral:lncRNA from 1 species
AUGAAAACUAUAUUUUAUAACUCCUUGUUGUCAUGUGCCUUCCGCUUCAAAUGAUGUCCUCUGGGAAGCUAGAUUACUGAAAUAAACUAUUCUCUAAGUGGACAGUGAAUGAGAUGCUCUGAAGUCACACACAAACAAGAAGUCAGCCGUCUUGAACCUGGAUCUCUCUGACUUGCUGUCUGGAAGGAAUAUUAGUGUUCCGUUCCACUCCAGCAGUUGCCCUGUGUGUUGACUAACAGGUUCUUUCUUCCGGAUGCUUAGGUUCAGCAGACUGUGCAAGAUCUUUUUGGCAGAGCCCCAAGUAAAGCUGUUAAUCCUGAUGAGGCUGUAGCCAUUGGAGCUGCCAUUCAAGGAGGUGUGUUGGCUGGUGAUGUUACAGAUGUGCUACUCUUGGAUGUCACUCCCCUCUCUCUAGGUAUUGAGACACUUGGAGGUGUCUUUACCAAGCUUAUUAAUAGGAACACCACUAUUCCAACCAAAAAGAGCCAGGUAUUUUCUACUGCUGCUGAUGGACAAACUCAAGUAGAGAUUAAAGUGUGUCAGGGGGAAAGAGAGAUGGCCGGAGACAACAAACUUCUAGGACAGUUCACUUUGAUUGGAAUUCCCCCAGCCCCUCGUGGAGUGCCUCAGAUUGAAGUUACAUUUGACAUUGAUGCCAAUGGGAUUGUGCACGUUUCUGCCAAAGAUAAAGGGACAGGACGUGAGCAACAGAUUGUAAUCCAGUCUUCUGGUGGAUUAAGCAAAGAUGAUAUUGAAAACAUGGUUAAAAAUGCAGAGAAGUACGCUGAAGAAGACCGGAGGAAGAAGGAACGUGUUGAAGCAGUUAAUAUGGCUGAAGGAAUUAUUCAUGACACAGAAACCAAGAUGGAAGAAUUCAAGGACCAGUUGCCUGCUGACGAGUGCAACAAGCUAAAGGAAGAGAUUUCCAAAAUGAGAGAACUCCUUGCUCGAAAGGACAGUGAAACAGGAGAAAACAUUAGGCAGGCGGCAUCUUCCCUUCAGCAGGCAUCAUUGAAACUCUUUGAAAUGGCAUAUAAAAAGAUGGCAUCUGAACGGGAAGGUUCUGGAAGUUCUAGCACUGGGGAACAGAAGGAAGAUCAGAAGGAAGAGAAACAGUAAUAGUGGCAGUGCAUUGUGGAGCCAGGACGACAUACUAUGAAGCUUGGGAGUAAAGGAACUUCCUGAGCAGAAAAGGGGCAAACUUCAGUCUUUUUACUGUAUUUUUGCAGUAUUCUAUAUAUAAUUUCCUUAAUAUAUAAAUCCAGUGACAAUAGCUAUAACUCAUUUAAUGGUAAUAAAGUCAGCAAUAGCAGGUUCACACUUCUAUAACUAGCCUGCUGUUUUCAGCUGCACGUAAAGGGGUGGGAUGGGGCUGCGUACCAAUCAUUAUUAGGUAAAUCUGGUUUGUGCUGAAGUAGCUAUGUUUUCAAGAUGGAAGCCCAUUUCACAUGCAGUAGAGGUAAUCUGUCAUGGACCUUGAAUUGAGGUCAUAUGCAGAUGCUUGUUGACCAAGAGCACUGCUAUAAAUGACCUGUGUGUACAUUUGCUCCUUCAACUGAUGCCUUGCAAGACUAAGCUCUCUGUGUCAUGGUCUAUAGGUACAGAAGUUAGGUCAAUGGAUAACAGCUGUGUUAGCCAUAGCUUAAAGUGAUCUAUCAAGAAUUAUACAAGCCUCUCAUGGGCCUAAGGCAUACUUCUCCAGCUACCCUCUUGGGUGGCCAAUGUCUGACAUCUAUAUUCUUGAUGAUUGUUCCUUUUUCAUCCAUUCUGGAUUUUUUUUUUUUUUAAUAAAAUUCUGAAAGCCUCUUGAUCUCCUUUGUGAAUGGUAGUAGCUCAAGGACUAUGACUGUACCAUCAGGUUUGUGAGUAGAGGUAAAAAAUCAACACUGGCUAAAAGGUUGAACAAAUUAAACAUGGUGAGGGACUAAAUAACAUGUUGGCAUGUAUGCUGGAUGUGGAAGC